AUGUCGUUCAAUGCCCUAGAGUUAGUGUGCUGGAAUGUUCGAGGGCUUAACAAUCCAGCCAAAAGGAAGGCGCUUAGAGGUUUCGUGGACUCUGUUCGUGCGGCAAUUGUAUGUAUCUUAGAAACUAAGUUAGAGGUGGUGGACACAUUUGUAAUCUUGCAAUGCAUGGGACCAACUUAUGAUGGUUUCACAUAUUUGCCGGCGUCGGAUACUAGAGGGGGUAUUUUUGUGGCUUGGGACACAACACGGGUAUGCUUGACAAAUUUUGUCAAUGACUCCCAUAGUAUCACUGGGUACGUCUCGCCCACGGAGGGAGUGCCAUGGUGGCUAACAGUAGUAUACUGA
rnacentral:rRNA from 1 species